ACCAAGGCCCUUUUCAGGGCCACUCCCAGAGCUGAAGCAAGGGCU
rfam:Erinaceus europaeus unplaced genomic scaffold scaffold00174, whole genome shotgun sequence